GGCCAUAUGUGUGGCAUAGUGGUUUGAGUGUUGGACUGCGACUCUGGAGACUGGGGUUCAAUUCCAUAUUCAGCCA